rnacentral:piRNA from 1 species
CUUGAUGAUGUAGCUCAGUGGU